rnacentral:rRNA from 1 species
GGGGGGAGCAAGCGUUGUUCGGAUUCAUUGGGCGUAAAGGGCGCGUAGGCGGCUUCGCAAGUCUGACGUGAAAUGUACCGGUUCAACCGGUGCGCUGUGUCAGAAACUGCGUGGCUUGAGGUCGAGGGAGGAGAGUGGAAUUCCUGGUGUAGCGGUGAAAUGCGUAGAUAUCAGGAGGAACACCCGUGGCGAAGGCGGCUCUCUAUCUCGAUUCUGACGCUGAGGCGCGAAGGCCAGGGGGAGCAAACGGGAUUAGAUACCCCGGUAGUCCUGGCCGUAAACGAUGGGCACUAGGUGUGGGAGGUAUCGACCCCCCUUCCGUGCCGCAGCUAACGCAUUAAGUGCCCCCGGCCUGGGGAGUACGAUCGCAAGAUUG